AUAUAUUUGAAGCGCGUGCGAGUUAAGUUCAUAACAUUUUUUUCUUUCUUUGCAAAUAAUUUUUGCAAAGACAUCAACGACCAAGGCUGCCAUUGUGGUACAGUUUGGAAGUGUUCUUUUGGUACGCUAAUAGAAACCAAAAACCUUCAUAACAACUCGACCCACUAACCUAAUUGUGAUUCGGGGUGACCCUUAAAGAAAAGGUAUUUAUAUGUGCUAGUGUUGAGACUUGGAACUAAUUAAGGCUUCCACAGUUUCCGUGCCUGCUCAGUUGACUAGAUUUAGACGUACUAGUCGGCACUACCAGAGGGGGAGAUCGGACCAGACAAGGGCAACACCAAGAGCACGUGUCGCACUUAGCAACCCAGCAGAACCAAUUUUGUUGCUAUUUUACUUAUCAGCCGCUGUCUUGCGAAGAACAACAUCUGGCAUAGCCUCGGAAAACGGCGUCAAGCGGGUGAAACGCUUACUAUUUAUGCAGCACCAUCGGGACCGCAUGCACUAAGCAUAUAGUGUAACCUGCAGAGAGUAACAAAGGAGCCGACAACAGCGAUCAUAAUCGUCGUAUACAUUGGGCCCAACGUCUGCUUCGAAGGAUAUCGCCAACAGCGAUCAUAAUCGUCGUAUACAUUGGGCCCAACGUCUGCUUCGAAGGAUAUCGCGUGAGUAAGAGUUUAAACCAAUGCCUAUAGAUAUAUGUAGUUAUAUACACACAUGAACAUUUAAAUGCAGUUAAUUUAGCAAGACGGUAAAUUAAUUACUAUCCGUCAAGUCUCAAGAUAAUGUUGGUGAAUUUCUCCUUCCCCUUAAUUUCUUUAUGGGAUUUAAACUAGUUAUUGCACAUUCAUCAUAUUAACUUUGGAUUCAAAUUUUGUUUGG